UAAUACGGAGGGUGCCAGCGUUGUCCGGAUUCAUUGGGUUUAAAGGGUGCGCAGGCGGGCACUUAAGUCGGGGGUGAAAGACGGUUGCUCAACAAUCGCAGUGCCUUCGAUACUGGGUGCCUUGGGUGAAGUCGAGGCGGAUGGAAUGCAAGGUGUAGCGGUGAAAUGCAUAGAUACCUUGCAGAACUCCGAUUGCGAAGGCAGUCCGCUAGGCUUUAACCGACGCUCAGGCACGAAAGCGUGGGGAUCAAACAGGAUUAGAUACCCUGGUAGUCCACGCCGUAAACGAUGAUCACUCGCUGUGGGCGAUAGACAGUCCGCGGCUUAGCGAAAGCGUUAAGUGAUCCACCUGGGGAGUACGCCCGCAAGGGUG
rnacentral:rRNA from 1 species